rnacentral:tRNA from 1 species
GGCAGUGUAGUAGAAUGGCUAAGGAUUUGGUCUUGUAACCUAAAGGUUGCAGGUUCGAUUCCUGGUAGGACACUGCCA